rnacentral:hammerhead_ribozyme from 1 species
AUCCAGUUGACAAGUCCCGAAUAGGAUGAAACACGCGUCAAACUGGAU